GGCUUCCGGCUCCGGCUUGGAGCUGGGUGUUCAGAAAGUGGGUGUACUGCGUUAGCGUUUAGGUGGGUUGUUUAGAUGGCGCCAGCCUCAGCGUCUCCAGUCAGUUCUUUUAGUCACACAUUCAUUCCGCUGCCAACAGUCAAACUCGACGUCGAGCGAUUAAAUCCCUGGCAUCGCCCUGUGUAGCCUUGCAUCUGUUCGAUCAGCCAUUCCGGCUACUGUUCCACCGCCAGUCUGACUUAAACAGAAGCCGUCGGGCUUAGUCAGCGAUACCACUUUAAGAAAAUUCCAAGGAAAAGGCUGCCCCUGAUCUAAAAUUCCC
rnacentral:lncRNA from 1 species